GUAUUGAUUGCGUGUCAUCGCAAAAUGGGGUCAUUCUACACUUUUUAAAAGGGGUUUGUGUGAAAACGCAAGCACCCUCCUGGAUCGGUUUGAUCCCAAAGGGUGCCCACGCGGUGGUGCACAAAAGGGUGAGAUGGAUUUUAUGCGGGAGGACACGCUCUGGCGUGCACGACUUUAAAAAGUCAGCGACAGCCCUCGCAUGCCCUCACACAUUUUGUACGAUAAUGAUCCUUCCGCAGGUUCACCUACGGAAA
rnacentral:misc_RNA from 1 species